rnacentral:rRNA from 1 species
GAUGAACGCUAGCGAUAGGCCUAACACAUGCAAGUCGAGGGGCAACAGGAAUGUAGCAAUACAUUUGCUGGCGACCGGCGCACGGGUGAGUAACACGUAUGCAACCUACCUUCUACAGGGAGAUAGCCCGGAGAAAUUCGGAUUAAUACCCCAUAACACAGGGAUGCCGCAUGGCAAUAUUUGUUAAAGAGACAUCGGUAGAAGAUGGGCAUGCGUUCCAUUAGCCAGUUGGUAAGGUAACGGCUUACCAAAGCGACGAUGGAUAGGGGAACUGAGAGGUUUAUCCCCCACACUGGAACUGAGACACGGACCAGACUCCUACGGGAGGCAGCAGUGAGGAAUAUUGGUCAAUGGACGCGAGUCUGAACCAGCCAAAUCGCGUGAAGGAAGACUGCCCUACGGGUUGUAAACUUCUUUUGCAAGGGAAUAAAAAGGGUUACGUGUAACCCCUUGCAAGUACCUUGCGAAUAAGCAUCGGCUAACUCCGUGCCAGCAGCCGCGGUAAAAC